rnacentral:ncRNA from 1 species
CGGGGCCGCUGGGGGUGUUGCGGUGCAUGCGCCGCGACUGAGAGAGUCCCUUCGAACCUGAUUGAGGUAAUCCUCGCGCAGGGAAAGCACGUUCGGACCGGG